rnacentral:rRNA from 1 species
GGAUGAACGCUGGCGGCGUGCCUACUACCUGCAAGUCGAGCGAACGGACGAGAAGCUUGCUUCUCUGAUGUUAGCGGCGGACGGGUGAGUAACACGUGGAUAACCUACCUAUAAGACUGGGAUAACUUCGGGAAACCGGAGCUAAUACCGGAUAAUAUUUUGAACCGCAUGGUUCAAAAGUGAAAGACGGUCUUGCUGUCACUUAUAGAUGGAUCCGCGCUGCAUUAGCUAGUUGGUAAGGUAACGGCUUACCAAGGCAACGAUGCAUAGCCGACCUGAGAGGGUGAUCGGCCACACUGGAACUGAGACACGGUCCAGACUCCUACGGGAGGCAGCAGUAGGGAAUCUUCCGCAAUGGGCGAAAGCCUGACGGAGCAACGCCGCGUGAGUGAUGAAGGUCUUCGGAUCGUAAAACUCUGUUAUUAGGGAAGAACAUAUGUGUAAGUAACUGUGCACAUCUUGACGGUACCUAAUCAGAAAGCCACGGCUAACUACGUG